rnacentral:rRNA from 1 species
CCUACGGGUGGCAGCAGUGACGAAUAUUGGUCAAUGGACGCAAGUCUGAACCAGCCAUGCCGCGUGCAGGAAGACGGCUCUAUGAGUUGUAAACUGCUUUUGUACGAGGGUAAACGCAGAUACGCGUAUCUGUCUGAAAGUAUCGUACGAAUAAGGAUCGGCUAACUCCGUGCCAGCAGCCGCGGUAAUACGGAGGAUUCAAGCGUUAUCCGGAUUUAUUGGGUUUAAAGGGUGCGUGGGCGGUCGGAAAGGUUGGGGGUAAAACCCCGGGGCUCAACUCGGAAUUGCCUCUGAUACAGUUCGGCUAGAGAGUAGUUGCGGUAGGCGGAAUGUAUGGUGUAGCGGUGAAAUGCUUAGAGAUCAUACAGAACACCGAUUGCGAAGGCAGCUUACCAAGCUACGUCUGACGUUGAGGCACGAAAGCGUGGGGAGCAAACAGGAUUAGAUACCCGGGUAGUC